rnacentral:lncRNA from 1 species
AUAAACCUUGCAUUAUGGUUCAUCAGCAUAAUAACCAACAAUUACAAAAAUUAUACAUAAAGGGAUAUUUACAUGCCCAUCUAUAUUUAUUCUUGAGACAAUUUCAGCAACACCAACAAGGAACAAUAAAUUGAUUGGCAAAUUGUCUCCUAUCUAUUUCCUUCAGAAGAAACUUUCAUGCGACCCAUUAUGUUCUACUCAUAACUUCAUGGUGAUCUUGAGCUUGUGAACCAAACAACCAAUGGAAACCAAUAAUACCCAUGCACUCCAUAUUGGCAUCACUUGCUCCUCCUAUAGUUGGGGUUUUCCUCAGCGAGUUUACGGUUAUAAGCCAGACCCAGAGGUGUCAUCAGAAUCUGUUGAAAUUGAAACAGAUAGAGAAAGUGUUGCGUCACUUGCUAAAGCUCUUUAUACCGCAAUUAGAACUCCUAUCGCAAUCUGUGUUCCUUUACUGCACCUAUUCGAAAGACAGAGAGCAAACGAGAAUGGUUGCAUUAGUUGAACCAGAAAUGCAACAGCUAGAAGUGGAUGACAGCACAAAAUAAGAAUAUGGUGAACUUCAUGAUCAAGAAUCAGAUGAAAAAAUGGUAUAGAAAGUAUCAAGAUUGACAUUGAUUAUUCAAGGGAAGAAAGCAUUGGACAGAGUAUAUUGAACCUCUUGAAUUAAGGAAUAAUGAGGAUCACCUGAAUAAACUCACUGCUCCAGGGCCUGCACAUAUGUUAUGAGUUGUACCUAGACCUUAUUCAUUAGUGAAAUGACUAGUUUUUAUAUAUAUUAAAACGUACAAAGAAUAAGAAAAGCUAAAUCAAUGAAUAAAGAGAACAAUCAGGAAGAAAUUCAAAGAGGCCCAAUUAAAAUGACAUUGACAAUGAGCCAUUUCAGUUACAAUCAUCACAAAUAGCAAUAAUCAUGAAGUAAUUAAAAGAGAACCAAAAGGGUGGUCCAGCCGUAGGGUAUCAACAGGCAGAAGUGCAAAGGUGGCAAUGUAAAGCAUAUACCAGGAAUCCUACCUCAUUUCAGUUAAGUUUGGGAAAAGUCAGCCAUGAAUGUACAUAAAAAAGAUGAAUGGCAGUGUUAUUGCCAUAUCAGUUACAGUUGAGCAUAAAGGCCAGCAGUUAUUUGGGCGUCCUAAGAGGUGCUCUGAAUCAGCUAUAAAAACAUAGGCAAAAGAGAGCCCAAAGGAUGUCAAUCAGGUAAUCAUCGUUUCAGUUACUAAAUAUCAGUAGUCAUAGGCAGAUUUAAUACAGUAAUCAGUAUGCAAUAAUCAGCAUGAGCAAGCAAUCAUUAGGCAGUUUCAAAACACAAGGGUCAGGAUUAUUCCUGACUUUCAAUUAGCAACCCAAAGAGCACCACUACUCAGCUAUAAAAGGAGAGGCAUUACAACCAGAAAAGGGGGGUUCACCACACAAAAAUU